UUCAGUGGCAUGGCCCUGUCACAGAUGGCUCCUACAUCACCCCCAUCUCAUCAUCUCAGAGCAGGGGCCAGAGUGCUGCACCUGUGAUCCAUUGAUUCUCAGCAGGGGCCAUUGCUACCUGGGAUAGUCUGAGAGCUGCUUUGAACUCCUUUGAGGCUAGAUUUGGUUUAGUACCUUUCUGAGAAUCAGAGAGCCACAGCCCACUCUCUUGUGCCCAGCAGAGACUGGGUGCAGUCAAGAAUCUGGCUCACAGUCUGGUUGUGUGGCUGGAAUAAGUCCAUGGGAGUUUUGAACUGGAUUUUGAAGUGAAUGGGAGCCAGAGAAGGCAUUUGUGCAGGUUGUGGGGAGAUUAAAGGGCUUGUCUAGAAAAACAGUUAGUGUGUGACAAGCUAGGGGGUAAAUCUACGACACAGUAGUAUGCCACACACUAACUGGCUGGGUGGACCCUGCUCCAAAAGUUCCCCAGUGUGCUUUGAUUGAUUCCUUUUUGAAAUGAGAAUAAGUCAAUGCUUCAGUGCAUAUGGGAGAAAAUGGGCAGCAGCAAUCUGCAUAUUCCAGGAUCUGGAAAUCUGGGGAGACCCUCUUCACCAUUUGGCUGAGAUCUAUUCUAGGAUCUGCUCACAGGUGUGUGCAUCUGUGAGCAGAAGCAGCAGGAGGCAGAGAAGGCAUCAGGAAAGCUAAGGAGACAGCAAGAGGAGCUCUUCCAACAAGACAAAGCCAAGAAGGAGAGCUUUUUGGGCAGAGUGCCGGCUGGACAGUGGUUUGGAACUGUGAGCAAGGAAACUGCCUCCUGCUGUUUAAUUCCUACUCUGUUCUGGGAAACAGAACUCUGUGUACAUACCUCGUAAAUAAACAGGAAUGAAUACCUGACUCCAUAA